UACGUAGGGUGCGAGCGUUGUCCGGAAUUAUUGGGCGUAAAGGGCUCGUAGGCGGUUUGUCGCGUCGGGAGUGAAAUCCACUGGCUUAACUGGUGGCUUGCUUUCGAUACGGGCAGACUGGAGGUAUGCAGGGGGAGAACGGAAUUCCUGGUGUAGCGGUGAAAUGCGCAGAUAUCAGGAGGAACACCGAUGGCGAAGGCAGGUCUCUGGGCCGCAACUGACGCUGAGGAGCGAAAGCAUGGGGAGCGAACAGG
rnacentral:rRNA from 1 species